rnacentral:rRNA from 1 species
AACGCGUGGGAACAUACCUUUUGGUUCGGAACAACACAGGGAAACUUGUGCUAAUACCGGAUAAGCCCUUACGGGGAAAGAUUUAUCGCCGAAAGAUUGGCCCGCGUCUGAUUAGCUAGUUGGUGAGGUAACGGCUCACCAAGGCGACGAUCAGUAGCUGGUCUGAGAGGAUGAUCAGCCACAUUGGGACUGAGACACGGCCCAAACUCCUACGGGAGGCAGCAGUGGGGAAUAUUGGACAAUGGGCGCAAGCCUGAUCCAGCCAUGCCGCGUGAGUGAUGAAGGCCCUAGGGUUG